rnacentral:sRNA from 1 species
UUUAAUAGAUCAUAAACUCAAGAACGAAAGAACCGGAGCUGAACCCAAAACCAAACCGAUAUUUUCGAUACCUAUAUAGAUCUUAAACUAAAAUCGAAAGACGCAAAACCUAACCAUUUUUUUUUAUACAUAUGCAUAUUACAAACUAAAUUCGUAAGAAUCAAAGCCAAAUUAAAUCGACCUUAAUAUCUAGAUGUCCAAACGUAACAAUUAUUGUAGAUGUUAAGCGAUCAACUUAUAAGAAAGUGGAAAAAGACAAAAAGUUGCGCAAUGCUAUCAAGUAAACAAACCACUGCUUUUAAAUUUUUUUAAAUUUACUUUCCAGUAAAAAAAUCAAUGCUAAAUGAGUUUACCAAAAUACCCGAAAU